CGGAGGAAAAGAAACCAACAGGGAUUGCCUCAGUAACGGCGAGUGAAGCGGCAAAAGCUCAAAUUUGAAACCUUCGGGAUUGUAAUUUGAAGAUUUGGCAUUGGAGAAAGCUAACCCAAGUUACUUGGAAUAGUACGUCAUAGAGGGUGACAACCCCGUCUGGCUAACCGUUCUCCAUGUAUUGCCUUAUCAAAGAGUCGAGUUGUUUGGGAAUGCAGCUCAAAGUGGGUGGUAAACUCCAUCUAAAGCUAAAUACUGGUGAGAGACCGAUAGCGAACAAGUACUGUGAAGGAAAGGUGAAAAGAACUUUGAAAAGAGAGUGAAAUAGUAUGUGAAAUUGUUGAUAGGGAAGGAAAUGAGCGGAGAGUGGUUGAGGUUUCAGCGCACCCUUGGGUGCGUGUAUUGCCGACGCCGAGUCAUUGACAGCGAGACGGGGGCUACAAACAGGUUGCUCUUGAGCUUCCCACCUAUCCCCCCCACUGCCGCCAACGACAUAAUCCGCCCAUUUCACCCGUC
rnacentral:rRNA from 1 species